AUCAGCUGAAGUCUCACAGCCAGCGAAUGGCAGGCCAGGGCACCAGGGCCUAGGUCUGCCUGCCUCUUCCAUCCACCUUCUGUCAUCACAAGCCUUCUGAUCUCCAGCCCUCUGAUCUGCCCCAGUGGGACCCUCCUGCGUCUCUGCUCUAGUUGUAGAGGACCCAUCAGGCACUUAGAGAGAAAUGAGUGGUGUUGUGAACAUUCGACUGUGUCCAUGUGGAAUCCACACACACAGUUUGCCUGAAAAUGACUGAUAGGAUGGAAACUGACAAGUCAUCAUCCGCUUCGGGCACCAGCGAUGACUGGUUAACAUGAAUAUUGUGUUGAUUUCCGCUAGAUAGAAGAAGAUGUCACUUGUCGUUAAUGGGGUGUCACACGUACACUUGCCUAAAGGAAAAUGCUCUUUUGGUGAUUGUUCUCAAUUUUCACCUCAUUUUAUAGCCAUAAAAAAGAAAAGAUUCAGCAGAAAGGAUGAAUCCACCUAGGGGUAGGAUGGAAAGGCAUUCUUCUCAUUUAUUUCCUUCUUUCUUUACCAGAACAACCAAAACCCAGUGAAAAUGCUGGUGCAAGUCAGAAGAGGGGGACCUGGGUUCUAAGAGCAGCCAGGUACUCUGGGCUUCAGAUCAGAGCCUCAGAAUCCAGCAGUUAUGCCCACAAGGUAGCCAAAGUCCAGCCAGUACCACCGGUCUCUCGGCCAGCUAUACUUGCCUCUGCUCAACAAUGAUGAUUUGAACGUACAUGUACAAAUAAUAACAGAUAACAUUACUGAGCACUUUACUAUGAACUAUGGAAUGUGCUAGGUAAAGACGUUACUCCACGUAAGCCAUAAAAUCAACCUAUGGGGCAGGUGCAGAUCCACAAACCCUGAUUUAAGAAUUCUGAAUCCUCAAAAGCUUUGAAAACCAAAACAUUUUUUCAUACGUGGUAAUAUGGUAAAAUACUUUGGAGGAACUGGAUGUAUUUUUCCUCUGGUCUCCAGAGAAGAAACUGAGACGACAGCAAGUCACAGAUUCAAGCUGUGUUCAUAAUGUGUUUCCACGUGGAGGUCACACUUUCAUGUUCAUGGGCAGAUGAAUUCUAACACCAAACACCAGGCUGAAUAGGUGUUCCCAUUGCAAGAGAAGUGCUGUGCACAAUUUUUAUUUGCAUUUCAAAACCCUAACAAAUGGCCACAAUCAACUACUACAAAUUUCUCCUAAUUAGUUUUAGUCUGCACUUCUGUCACCUUUAGGAGAGAGCCAAAGAUUUUAACCUUCAAAAUUAUCAGCAAUGCAUGUCAGAAAGCAUUUCAAAGAAGAGUCAAAGUGCAUGUAGAAACUAAUUGCUGUAUCUGAAAGUGCUGUUUGAAGAAUUUUUCAGUCUUCAGAGAAGCAAGUUCCCCACCCCUUGGGAAAACUAGUCUUCAAACUAAAAGUUUCCCCAAAUCAUAUACCUGAGAAAAAUGUUAAAACAGACUUACCCAAAAAGGCAAAGAAAUAAAACUGUAAGAAUAAAUAAAUCAGAAAUCAGAUGUCUCUCCCCUGUUUAAAAUCCUCCAACAGCUUCCUACUUUACUUGGAAUAAAACGCAAUUCCUUUACCAUCA
ensembl:lncRNA PTPRT-AS1 PTPRT antisense RNA 1